rnacentral:rRNA from 1 species
AACGUAGGAGACAAACGUUAUCCGGAGUUACUGGGCGUAAAGGGCGUGUAGGUGGUUUCGUAAGUCUGGCGUGAAAUUUUUCGGCUUAACCGGGAAAGGUCGUCGGAUACUGCGGAGCUAGAGGACGGUAGAGGCGUGUGGAAUUCCGGGUGUAGUGGUGAAAUGCGUAGAGAUCCGGAGGAACACCAGUGGCGAAGGCGGCACUCUGGGCCGGAACUGACGCUGAGGCACGAAAGCUAGGGGAGCAAACAGG